GCUUUAAUGGGUUAGCAUAAUAGGCUAGUGCUAAAAAUUAGGACGGCUGAUUUUUGUUAUCCUGUUGGGUCCGUGCUGAUGCCACACCCUUUCUGGGAUUUGACAGGCCACCUUUUCCACUCACCUAGAUGAUAUGCCAAAUAAACUGAAGUUGUCAUGCUAAUGUUUUAAAGAAUGGUUGUGUUUCCUCAAGCUAUAGGAGGCUGAGGGUAACAAUGAAAUAUAAAAUGCUAAUAUCAUCACAGCUUCUGUAAAGGAGAUCAUAGGCUGAGAAAUAAUUUUAAUUGAAGGGUUAAUUUCACUGAAAAUUGAAUUGGAGGAUAGAGAAGGAACAUCUGAAAGGACACUUAUAUAUGUGAUAUUGGGCAUAUAUUAGAAAGUAUGCUAAAAGUGGCAGGUGUACUAGAGCAGUGGACUGAGGGACAAAAACUAGGAUUCUAGUCGCAGCUCUUUAAGUUUUUAUCUCUGAGUCUCACCUUCUUCCCAUUAGUGAGAGGAAUAGGUUAGAUUAUUCCUGGGGUUUAUCCCAGCUCCAGUUCAGUUUUUUUAUGAAUGAAUUCUUCAGGUGGUAGAGUCAAAGUAUUAUAUAUUUGAACGUAAAUUUAAUAGAUAAGUAAAAAAUCACUUUGCCAAAUGUUUUUGGUCUUACAAUAAGUUGAUUAAAAUGUUAUCAUUAUUUCCAUGUUAACCCCAUUCAGUGAGAUGAAAACUUUCAGAACAUUUGCAAAAUGACUGUGGUUUUCUACCAUAAGUGUCAGAGUACCAUAUGUGCUAAGGGGCAUGGAGGUGGGGAGUACAUGAUGGGCUGCUAUGUCACUUGUAAAUUGAGAACUGCUUAUAUUGGCUUUUACUAUUAAAGUUCUGCUGGCUUUUAAUAUAUACCUUUUCAAAUAUAUUCAUGUCUGAGAGAGAGAACUUCUAAAAACAUUUUGUGUUUAAUUUUUUACUAUUAUCUCUUGAAGGAAUCUAUAAGAAGGUAGAGCAGUCCACAGUACUAGCUAUCCAAUAGAAACCAAUAAUUAAGUCCAAGGAUACAGGUUUUUGUGGCAAAAUACACAUAACAUGAAUGGCAUUAUUUGGCUGUUAGUUUAAUAGUCCAAAUAUUAAGCAUAGAAUUGAUAGGUCCCAGCACAGGCGUCAUAUUUGCUGCUAACUACUCUAUUACCAGUACAGAGUAGUGGUGAAAAUCAGUAGCCAGCCAAUAGGAUUCCUUUUCUGUCUUUGAGUCAGUGGGACUUGCCUCUUACUCCCAUCCCAAUAAAAUGAGUAAGUAUUGCUUGUAGACCCAUUUCCCUUGACAACUUCCAUUCUCAGCAUACUAUUUUCUCAGAUCCUUGUCUUAUCUUUAAGUUGCUGACCAUGGUUUUAGUCUAUGCCAAAGCAUUUCAUCAUACGGCCCUAAGAAUAUGAUAGGAGAAGGUCAUGCCUGACAUGGGACAUCUGGAAAGCCCCAAGAAGCAAGACUAUUUCUGCAGGCUGUCUUUGAUAGGAGACCAACUCUGGAGGAGCUGUUAGGAUCAUCAGUUACUGGUUUUGGUUUACAUUUAAGUGGGUGCCUAAAUAACAGUACUUUGUAAUAUCUCAGGUCCCUGUGCUUUCUCUUAUCCAAGGCUCUGGAGGGCCAUCUGCUGGGCUAGACAAUGGCUUGGGAGGUAGAAGCUGGAAUGAGGAGGAAAUCUCACAACUUGUUGCUACACACUAGAGCUUCCAUCUGCUGUGGGUUUGGAUUGGACCACUGCUUUCUAGUUCUGCAAAUCAGGGAAGAAAAUGUAUAAUCGGUACCCUACUAAUCCCUAGGGCCCUCCAUUUAUCUCUGCCCUUUUCUAGUUGCAAAAGCAUAAGAUUCAUAAGUGUGGGAAUGUACUUUGUUCAUACUUAUAUUCCUAAUAUCUGUCCCUUCUACUACUCUAUGUCAGAACAAUAAAGAAGGAACAUCUAAAAGAGUGAGGGGGCUAAUCCUAGGAUUCAUUCUAGUUUCGCUUGGGAGCUGUAGUUUGAAAGUUACCAUUCAGGCUAAAAAUGUUUUAAUUAAAAGUUGUGUAAAAUUAUGAUUGGUAUGAUUAUAAUACAGCAUUUAUAUAAAGUAUAAAUUAUAGUAUAAUGAAUCCCUAUGUACCCAUCCAUCCCUUCUGAGAAAGAUUUUUCUAUCUCCUGUUGUCACAUACUAAUUAAAUGGGCCUCUUCUGCCUUCCAUCCAGUUAAAUGAAUGGCUCAUAGAAUGUAUCAUUCUUGAAUCUUCUGUGUUGAGUGUACAACCUGCAUUCUUUGGUUAUCACUUAUGGUAUUGGGUAGUAUUCUGAGCCUUGUAAGUCAUAAUCUAAUAUUACUGUUCUCAGUAAAUACCUUUGUUAGCCUUAAAACUCUUGAUGUUUUGUCUUUCACUGAGAAGUCAAGCUCCAGCCCUUGAGAAUUGUCUUAGGAAGAUCAUUUCUGAAUGGUCUUAGUCUCUAACAAAAAUGUAUUAUUCUUGGUUAAACAUUUUAUUCAGUGGGAAUAACUUCUGAGUGUCAUGUAAGCCUUGGGAACUGAUAAGUUGAAAGCUUUUACUUUGACUUAAAUAGGAUUAUGUACAAACUUUGAAACUAUGAAGGAAGAAUUUUAAACUUAUACUUUUGAAAGCAUUCAGUAAGCUAUUUUUUUAGCAUCUGUGUUUUACUACAAAAUUAAUCCUGCUGCCUCUUUACCAGUUAGGUCACAAGGUUGUUUUAAAAGGUCCUAAAACAUGCACCCACUGUAAUGUACUGGGUGAUAACUUCUAGUGGAAAGCUAUUCACUGCACUUAUGCAAAUUAGGUGGCCCUUUCACUUGCUUUUAUUCCAUUCCAUAGAAGUACCUUUGUGCCUCUGGAGCUGAGCACAGGCCUUUGAGUUCAGUCUUUGUGAAAGCAGAGAAAUUCUCUAUUUGAAUAUUUGACGUGUAUGAGAUUUUUCAAUCUUUGGACAUAAAUAAGAAUAUGUUACUCCUCUUCAUUACUUUAAAGGAAGGGACUCUCAUUAUAAAUAUGAUAGGGCUUGUUCACUUUAUUUUCAAGUAUCUGUUGGGAUAAUUUUCACUUUUCUGGCUGCCUAAAGUGACCACACAAAAUAUAGUUUCGUUCUGCCUUUUAAACCUAAGUUGUAGAUUAUAGAUACAUUUUCAAUGUGCAAGACAACAGUAGGCAUUCUUGUUAAAUUAGUUCGAGAAAUUCAUUUUAUUUUGUACAAGGUACGAUUCCUCUGCACAGUGAACAAAUAUAUUACAAAUCUGGGUUAUUUAAAAAAGUAUUGCCAUUUCAUAGUUUCACUUAUGCUAUUGUACAAUAAUAGUGUUUUCUUUGUUUGAAUUGUAUGCACAUCACUUUGAGUGAAAACUAGUUUCUGUAAAAUAAUCACACAGAUCUUUCCAAGUUGCCAAUAAAAUGCACAGUGCUCAUAUAUAGGUUGACCACGAACCUGUGUGUGAUAGUGCUAGACGGAAGUUCCUAACAGUUGCUCUGUAAGAUUCAAAUGUCUCUUACCAGUAACUCCUAGAUACGUGAAGGCAGCUGUUGUCAACACAGAUUAAUCACACCCUCUGCCUUUCCCUUCUCUGUGCUGCCUAAUAUUAAUUGCAUUACAUUUCUUUAAAAAAUCAUAGAAUGCCAGAGCUGAGGGGUUGUGAGAGCUCCCUUACUCUCUACUUCUCUCCUUUUUAAUACACAAGGAAGAAAGGAGUCCAGAGAGGGCAAGUAACUCUCCUGACCCAGCGCUUUAGCAAUUCCACCAUGCUAACUACCUCUUGCCGAAUUUUGCCCAUGAGAUAGUUGGCAAAAAAGAGGUGAAACCUGAAUGUUGCUGCUGGUUUGCAGUUUGCCAGGCAGCAGUUACUGUACAUGCAGGGUAGGGGAAGAAGAUAAAACCUGGGAUUCAGAUGAAGUUUCUCCUGGCUGAUCUGACUUCGCCAUGCUUCUUGAUCCUUGCUUUACAAAGAUAAUUGAGCACUUUGCUGCCCUGACAUACUGAGGUAAGUCUCUUAUCUCUAUUUCUUCCUAUGUAUGUAUGAGACAUAUUUACUUGGGUCUACAAAGGAAUUUUCUAGUAUUUCUAUUUUGUAAGGCUUCAGUGGAAAGGAAAUUUGCUAUUGCUGAUCACUUGCUCCCAUGCACACAUGCAGCAUUCAUGUAAGUAUUCUAUAUUUUCCCCUAACGAUAAAAUUUGCUUAAGCCUUGUGUGAAGUGAGGGAGGGGGAUUUACUCAUUUAUUUCUUUUCUUGCUUUUGCUGGUUAUUGCCCAAACUAAUGGGUUCCAUGGCAGACUUCCAGGUUGUAUCAAGGGCCUCAGAACUACACUUCCUGUAGCAGCUAUAUGCCAGCUCUAUACCCGUUGAGUCCCUCUUCUGUAUACCUCUUUGGAAGGAAUUUUUACUGGCUGGACUCUUAUCAGAAUGGAGUAGUAUACGGGUGGCCUUUAGUUUCCUCGGUUUGCCCUUAUGGUCUUGAAUUCUUGUGAGGCGGUCCUCUUUUUUAGGGCUUGGGAAUUGGCUCCAUUUUGACUCCUGAGCUCCUGUCUACCUGUGUUUACUACUAGUGGGAGGUAUGGACACAUCCAAAUACUGGGAUCUGGAGCAUGAGCUCGUUUUGAUACGUUUUUGGCCCUCUGAGUAGGUGGUGGUUUUCAGUAGAAACACUUCAUACCCUUAUAUGCUGUUUACUGUGAAGUUUUACAUCAUGUUACAGCACCUGAUUACAGUCUUUAUUUGAUCAUUUCAUUUCCAUCAAGAAGCAUAAUGUACUUUAAGCAGACUGUUAAACUUGCUGUAUCCACUUUUGUCCAAUUUCCUCUACACUUUUAGGUCCUAUACUAUAUCAAGCUCAAGAUUUACAAAGAAAUGCUUGAAAGCAAGUACUCGUCUGACUCGAGGAAUGCCAACCAAAUAAAUAUGGGAGGCCAAACAGCCGUUGUUAGGGAUGCUUAAUUCACACCAGUCUGUGACUGAUUGCUUAAAGCAUCAUCUCAGAGUUCUAGUUCAUCUGGAAUGACUCAGGUAUUGGAUGGAGUAAGGAGACAUGACAAGGCCAGGACUGGGCAAUGUUGUUGAACCUUGAAUCAGCAAGAUUUGGUAAAGCUGGCCUAGAAAUCAUUGUUGUAGACUGAAAGAGGCUGCUGCUGCGCUUUGGAAAACUUUCCCCCUCCUACUACCACGAAGGGCAGAAGAGGGAAAGUUCAUCUGUAUUUAUUAAAGUCUUACUUUUAAAAAAUUGAAGUUGUCAGUAUUAGACUGUACGCUGUAAUCUUGGCCAUUGUGAUGGGUGGAUCAGACAUACACGUGUAGGUACUUUAGCGGUGAUAUUAGCAGUUUGUGUUUGUGUAUUAUUUAGGUAAUAAAACAGGUGGAAGGUAACAGCAACCAAAAGUACAUACACAUUUCAGGUGCUUUAAAGUAAUCCAUUCCCCUCCCCAGUUUCCCCUUCCCCCUAGGAAGUUUGUGAAACCUAUGCUACGUGUUUUCUUAAGCAUCAUUUUCAGAUGAUUAAGUAUGUCAAUAUAUAUAUUUAGCUGAUGUUCAGUAGCUGUAUCUUAAAUGUUUUAAAAGAUCCUAUAUAGUCCUGGGCAUUUUGGGUUGGGUGUGGGUGGGUGGAUAGGAUUUGCCUUUGUGAACAGACCUUUUGAACAAUGACCCCAGUCCCACUUGGAAGCUCUUCUUUAGUUCCAGGUGAAAGUAAUAACUAACACGCAGCUGAAGUCAGUCUGUGUCAUUAUUUCAAGUCAAGGGAUUGUCUUCUUUCAGAGAGUCAGAAUAUUCAGCAGAGCACAUUGCAAGAGAGAGGCUUCUCUCUUAAGACUGCUUGUCCUGGGAGGGCCCAUUGGCAGGGCUUUGUCUUACUGGGAGGAGGUCAUAAUGACCAGGAAUAUGGCUGUUCCUAGGUAGGUCGUAUGGAUUCUGGAUAUAGCUGGAGUUAUGACCGAGGCCUUCUUGGACCACACUGAUUGUGGGCUCUAAGGAAUAUAGUGAAAAAUGAGUUCAGAGAACAGAUUAGCUUUGGUUGCCUUGUUGGGGGGAAAAGAGUUCUAUUUAACUUGAUAGGGAGAGAAGCCAGGGAUUUAUAAAUCUGUGAUAAAUAUAUGAGGGUUAUGACUGAGGCUCAUGAAAUGGAAAACCUAAGUGAGUAUACUAUUAGAAUCCCAGGCUCUGGGUCAAAACCAAGAGGUUUAGAAUAUCCUAGAGGUAGGAGUGUCAUCCACAAGCCCAGAGACAUAGGUGAAACGAAGAAGGUGGGAGACGGUGAUUUAGAAACUUGCCAAAUGUCUGUUCUGAUUGUUUUCUUUUUUAAACUGGGAUUUGUAUCAGCAAUCAGUUGAAGUGUGUGUGUGUGUGUGUGUGUGUACGUGUGUGUAUGUACCCACUGACUCCCCACCCCCAGCAUUUCUGAUUCAUACUAGUCCUGGUGUUUUUUUAAAGCACAGUUAAUACGAGAAUUUGAUUUUCUGCGUGAGAGAGGAGGGUAGUCCUGGGAAAGACCGUUCGCCUUGGAUUCCUUAAAAAGCAACAAAAGAAGGGUGUGUUUUCAAGACCAGGUGAGUGGAGAGGGCUUGUUUGACUACGGAUACUGCACUAUUGCCCUGAUUUCACUAAGUUACUUAUUUGAGACACCUACCAACUUCAUAUAUAUUUUUAUUAGAUGUCGACAAGGAUGGUAUAUCUGUGUACGGAGACCCUCUGUGCACAGGCGACUUCAUUUCUACAUAGCUGCUUUCUGGAAGCUUGCAGGUGAGGAUGGGUGGGUCCUUAAUUGUGGCGUAAGGGUUUUCGCUGCUAUUCAAGGAACAAGUGCUAGAACUGCACACGGAUUCUUUCAUGUAAUCUGUAAGGCAAGAAAGAUUUCUUAGGAUGUGAGAGGACAUAAGACUUAAUUUCAAUACCAGAAACAGAUUGCAGUUUAUGUGCCUUCAGGAUCCUAGAGCUGUCAAAGCCUAUGAUAACCCAAGAUUUCCUUCUUAAAUAUGUUGGAGUGGUUUCCUAGGUAGGGAGAGUUCUUUUCUUAAAGAAACCUACAUUUUUGGAGGGACAGGAACAUUUUUGCUUUUGGCUGUCAGUUCUAGCACCAGAACAGGAUUAUUUUAUGGUAUCUGUAAUGCGCUUUCACAUCUAUUAUUUACUUUUUUACAAAAUCCUUCAGAGAUGGUUGAUAGUUUACAUUUUAUAGGAUGAAGGCCCAGAGAGAUGAAGUGACUUGGCUGAUGUCACAUAAGCUCAUAAAUAGCAGUGCCAAAACUUGAAUGCAUGCCUUGGGACUUCUUGGCCUGUUUGUUCUGUGAUAUCAUUCUUCCUCUGAAUUCUUUUUGAUGACUAAGAAGCUUAGAUUCAAAAAGAAGUAGGUGUGUGUUUUGGCACAGGUGUGGGCAACUUUUAGGCAGCAAACUUUGGCUGGCGGCAUCCCUGCUCUUGAGAAGGUUGUGAUCAGAGGUGGGGCUGACUGAAGUGUAACAGAGAUGUGAAAAGCACCUGGGUCUCAGGCUAGCCUUUGGAAAGUUCCUGUUUUCAAGUAAGCCUCACAGCGUAUCCCUGGGGUCACUUACCUUAGUUCUUGUGAAUGCUAACUGAAACCUAUUUUGACAGUAUCUUUUUCUGAUACCAGGAGAACUGCUUCCUCUCCUGCUGCCUGUCUAGUGCAUCAUCCCCAAGACUUCAGGGUAUGUUAGCGUACAAAAGGAUGCAAACUGAUUUCCAAAUAUGAGGCAAAGUAACUGUGGCUCACUGGAGGAAGAAAGUGUUUUCUUUGCGACCGGGAGUCACAAAAGGAAGGGGAGCCCCUCCUUCAGCCUGAGACUAUCAGUGCAGCUUCUAGAUCUUCCCAAGUGAGGCAAGACUGUUCUGAUGGCCUUUAAAAAGCAGUUGAUUCUCUCAUCUGGCAAUUCAGGCCCUCAUUCUGUGAGGAUCUGCCAGCCAGGGGGUCUAGAAAUAAGCAUGGAGUUGCAUGACUUGUCAGUCAUGAGUGGUCUUCAGAGGUCUAAAUUUCUAUAAGUGGUAGCAGAUGGUGAAAUUUCUAUAUUUCUCAGCUUUAAAUUUCUGUAAGUGGUAGCAGAUUGUGAAAUUCUUGGACAGUCUUCCACUAGAACCAUCACAUGCUUUCUGCCUCCAGCUUGUGAGAUUAAUGAAAAUGUAAAAAAAAAAAAAAAAAAAAAAUUGAUCAUUGUAACUCAUGGGGUGACUAGCUGUUCCCUUAGGUCCAAGGAGAGCAGAACACUCCAUGUGGAUGCAAGUUGAGAUGUUUGCUACCACUAGCAGUCUUUUCUCCUGUAACAGGUGACUGGGUGGGAGGGGAUCUCCUUUUCUGCUAGUACAGGGUUACCGAUGUUUGUUUCAGAGGGUAACAUUUCCUUAAUCUUGUACAAAAGUACAUUCACCCAUUAAUUCAUUCAAGUGUUCACAACACCUGUGAUCUAGCUUAGAACAAUAAUUCUUCUCUCUUCCCCUUAUUUAUUGCUAAUGAGGAAACUGAAGCUUGGAGUGAGGAAGUGACUUCCCCAGGGUCACACUGCUCAUCGGUAGUAGAGCAUGCUCCAGAACCAGGCUCAGAACAUUUUCCAUCUCACCCUGGCCCACAGGUAGAGAGAGGAUGUUGGCCUUGGUCCCAUUGCAGAUUGUGGCCUCUUUGUAGCAUAUAGAACCCAAGAGAGGAGUAAGAGAAAACAUUCUUGCUAGACAAUGAGCAGGCCCAGCUGUUGGUGAGGCUCUCAUGAAGAAAGGGGGAUGCAGAUCCUGUGAGUCCUGGGCCACAACCUGCCCAGAGCCACAUAAAGCUGCUUCUACUGAGUUGUUUUCUUUUUUUCUUUCCUUUCUUCCCUCUUUCCUUCCCUUCCUUCCUUUUUACUACUUUGUUUCUUAGUACAAGGGCUGGAAGUAUGUCCAAGAACCCCAGCAUAGUCCAUCGGUCCCACUCUGGUCUCUGAACUUGGUAGCCAAGGAGUAAGGCAGUACUCAGGACUCAGAGCUGCUAACGAGCUGAGACUAGAAUUGCUUAAAGAAAGGCUGUCUCCUGAGUGAAAAGUCCUAACACCCCACCCCUACCUUCUCACCCAGACACAUCCUUUUACUUUGAUUGGUGGGUGCCUUAGUUGCAUGUUUUCUAAAACUUAAGGAAUAGCAAUAGAAAAGGUAGCCCUUAUAGCUAGUAUCUUCACUCCAUUUAGGUCAUUUGAAACUUGUUACAUCUGUGAAGAGGGCUGGACACGAAGGACUAGGAUUACUACUUCAGAAAUGAGGACAGCGAAGCUCAUAAAGUUUGCUUGAUGCUCGUAAGUGGUCAAGUUACGACUCAACUCAUCUUCUCUGGUAUCUAGUCAUGGUGUUUUCCUCCUUCCAUCUGGUUACUUGUGCUGCUGUUCUGUAUCUUCCAAUGCAAAGUGUAGCUGCAACAGCUUUGUUUUACCCUCAACGAGGAAUACCUUCUAUCGAUGGGGGCCAAGCCCUGCUGGGAGAGAAAGGCCAAACUCUAAGCUUUUGGUGGAUAUCCCAUGAUCAAUUUAUUUGUGGCAGUGGGGGAGUCUUGAAGCUGUAGCGCAAAGCUGAAAAGAGCCACAGUCAGCCAGUAGUGCCCCUCUUCUCAUUUCCACCAGAAAAAUCAAGGCUGCCUUCAAAUUUGGAGGUAUGCAGUAGUCUCCUGCCUUCCCCAAUCCACAGGGAUACUUGUCCACGACCCCCAGUGGAUGCAUGAAACCACAGAUGGUACUGAACCCUUUAUAUACUGUUGUUUUUUCCUUUGCAUACAUACCGAUGAUAGAGUUUAACUUAUAAGUCAGGUACAAUAAGAGAUUAACAAUAAUAGAACAAUUAUAACAAUAUAAUGUAAUAGAUGUUAUGUGAAUGGGGUUUCUGUCAAAACACUGUACUGCACUCACCUUUCUUCUUGCGAUGGUGAGGUGAGGUGAAUGACCUAGGCAUUGUGACAGGCCACUAUUGAUUGGCCUUGAUCAUGUGCUUCUGGAUCACUGUUGACUACGGGUAACUGAAACCACGGAAAGCAAAACUGCAGGUAAGGGGGACUACUGUAAAUAGUUUGCUGUGCAGCAGGGGAUGCACCUAAGUGGAUGAAAGACAAGUUGGGGUUCGGGGAGGGGAUUCGUUUUAAGGAGAAGCUGUAUCUCAUAAAGGGCCCAGAGUGAAAGAAAGGAUGGAGAAGCAUGUAUGUGUUGAGGUGGGUGAGAGAGGGUGUUGGAUAAUAAAAUCAUCUGGAUUCUAUUUUGGGGAACUGGAGGGAGGAAAGGGCCAGGCUAGCUGAAAAACUUACACUUUAGAAAGCUAUUCUUUUCUCCAGCUGAGUCAUCUACCUGCCUGCCCUCAGGGAGGGUGGGGUAAGGGGAAGAGUAACCUCUCUCAGGCACUUCCCCAUCCUUUUACAGCCCCACCCUACACUAGCCAGUCCCUGCACUUCAGGGCAUUUUGCAAGGAAAGGGGAAGCCUCAACCAAAGCCACCUAAGCUUUGGAGAGUCACUCCUCAGCGGCCCGUAACUAGCAUCUGGACCAAAGACUUAGCUUUAUAAUGCCUUAGCAUUUUUUCUCAGGGCCUUGGAAAUGAGCCUAUACCUCUUCAUUUUAUAAAGGAAGCAGCAAAUCCAGAGAGGGGAAAUGACUUUCCGAGGCCAUCCUUAGGUUCCUGCUCCCCACACUCAUUGUCUCCAGGAGCAUCUGACCAUCCAUCGCCUUCAGGAGAUCCUGCAAGCACGACCACCCACCUCCAACAAUCAACCUGGGUGUCCCCAAGGAUACCAUGUGACUCUGGGGUGUGUGUGUGUAUGUGUGGGGAGGGGCAGGAGAGGUGAGGCUGGGGGCAUAGUCUUUACCUGAGAGUGAGUAGUCCGUGCUGGUCAUCCUCAUGGCAGGUGUGUAGGAGACACGGGGAGCCAGGUCACGGCCUUUCUCUUUCUGUCGCCGCCGGCGCCAGGCGAACAGGCCCAACAGCACCACAAUGAGGAACAACAGGAGGACGAUGCCUGUGACAGCACCCACCGAGUGCCGCUCUGCACCCAGCGCCGGGCUGAUCUUGGUGUAGGGAUUCAGCUCCUCCAUCAUGAGGGCAGCUGUGAAGGGAGGGAGGACACGAGUCUGGGGGAGGCCUCUUGCUCUUCAGAUCUUGGCCCAGGGCCUAGACUCCUCUAAUGUUAGGAGACCUGGGUUCUGGUCUUCGGCCCUAUUCUUCAAUCCCUGUGUGAUCCUGUCCCUCACCGCGCCUGUGUUCUUCAACUGUCUACAGCAGAUGGACUUCCAGGGUCACGACCAAGAACAAAUGUGAUCACGGAUGGCAAAUAAAAUAACAACAAAUGUG